UAUCCGCGCCGGAAGCGCGCGAGGGUUGGCCCAGGCUUAGGCGCGGGGCAGGACGGAACCGUUGAGCGGCUCCUCCAAACAGGUAUAGAGACCCAGAAAUGCCCGUGGAAGGCUAGAGAGGACUCGGGCAAGGCAUUAGGGCUGGACGUUGUGACCCCUGGUGGAGCCAACCGGGGCAAGCAAUUAAAAGGGAAGAUGAACAUAAAGUAGGGAAGAGCAAGAAUGAAUUGUAACUUAAGACACGAGUUGGUCAUUCUUUCACUGUCUCCAACUUCAAAGAUACGAGUAUCCUUGCUAGAGGAGCUGACACUCUUUGCCACAGGACUAGACACACACAUGGCUCAGGAAUCAAAAAAGCUGAAGAUGACUCAGGGGAAGGCUUCUGCCCCAUCCCAACAAGGAGAACCAGCUGAUUGGUGACAAAGUGCAUGAGCUACAGUAGCACCUAGUGUCCCUGCACCACCGUUUCAACUAUAAAACUGGAGGGAUGCUUCGGUUCUGCCCUUCAAGACUUACACAACCAUGUCUUUUCCGGGCUAUUCUAACCAGAAACAAAAGAAAAGGAAAUUCUGGGAAACGUAGUUUAGCUUAGCAAAGUUGAGAUAUUACAAAAUUACCACUGUCCACUCUGUGUCGAGUUGACAUAAAUACAGCCCUCCUUAAAACAUGCUUUCAAAAUAAAGCCCACACCCUACACAUAAACUA